CACGUGUCGGACACGAACACGCUACCCUAUUUAGAGUGUCUGUGCUAAUAGGUGACAAAGAAGUUGAGGCUAUCCUCCCCACUACAGCUUAUACCCUUUCCAAAAUACAAAUGCAUUUGGUAUGCAGCGGGUAUGCCUAAGGAUUACUUCAUUUUAAGGGCAUCUUUCUUUUAUGACAUUAUGAAAGAGUGUUAUGUUGCAUUUUCAGAUAUGACUGAUUUUUUUGUAUCUUCUUUGUAUGUUAUCAGAUUUUGUUAUACAGCAGAAGGACCGAUGACGACAUAAUUGAAUUUCAUACAGAUAAUGGCCAAGAUGUGGACGGCUUGCCAACUGAAUGCGUAGAAAUCGCAUGCUUUCAUCUGGAUGGUUCCCACUAUAUGAUUUAUACACCUUCAGACCUGCUUCUCUUUGUUGUCGUGAAGGUAAAUUAAAA